AGACCACGUGCUUCUCCGUUGUCCUUUUUAUAAAGAGCUCAGGAGUAAACUAAUAUUACCUUUGAUUAGUAAAUGCCCUAGAUGGAAAGAUAUAGAUUGUAUGCAGAUGUUACUUAUAGAUGAAUAUCCAACUGUCACGGUGCAAGUAGCCAGAUUCUGCACAGCUGCUAUGAAGAUACGUCAGAUUAUGAUUGGAAAAAUGUAGUAAUGUAUCCCUUGUAAUAACUUUGUCGUCUAUAUAACACAUUUUAUAUAUGAUAUUUUACUCUUUUUAUCACUCCUUUUAAUAUUUUACAUAUAUUUUUAUAGACCCUUAUACCUGAUAGAAUAUUAGUCAUGAUAAUGCAAAUUAAUAAGAUUGUUUUUAAACUUGAUUAAGGGGCUCACUUACAUUGUGAUCCAAACGUAUUUUAACACUUAAUUGGAACUUGUAAACUCAAAUUUAAAAUUAUUUUAAUUUAGAUGGCUCAUAUUUUAUGGCUAAUGGCUAAUGUGCAUAUUUUUAUAGAAAUUCUAAAUCGUCAGUGACCAUAAUAAAAUCAGUUGAAAUAUAGCACCAUGGGAUAAAAAAAGCCAGAAUUAAAAAGUGGGAUACUUUUUGACAGUUUUGUUGGGACCGUCUUAAAGUAUAAAGUAUGAAAAUGUGCAGAAUAGAAAAUGUGUUUUCUGUAUGAAAUGAAGACCUUGUGGCUUGGAAAUACAGCCAAACUGUUCUGAGCAGAUCUCGGUGGUUCAGAAUUUCAUUAUACACAUGUACUUACCUCCACCCCCAUCCACUAGUGGUGUCCUUCCUUCCUUCCAUGUUUCCCAUCGAACAUGUAUUUCUGCCUGUGUCCGGUCCAGACCAGUUGGUUUGGGCUUUGUGCCUCAACCAACAUUUGUUUUGAUCUGGGCACAGACUGCCAAAAAUGGGCUCUUCAGUGCAUAGAACAUUUUGCACAUCCUUACUUCAUGUAUUAAAUUGCACAUGCUGAAUUGGAGUAGCUCAAGUCUAGGAUGUAGUUGUUGUUUUUUCCAAGUUGCGAUAUGGACUUUGUAUCUGUCAAGAGGGGCAAUAUUUAUUAGAAAUGUUGAAGAAAAUUAUGAAAAUGUUAUAAUGAUUAGACUUAACUACUUUUAUGAUGUAAUUCUGUCUAUAUUGACCAAAACGUUCCACUGAGUUCAAUGAGAUUAAGUAAUAGAUAAUUAUCUCUAGGAUUAUAGCCAUAGAGUUCUGAUCUAGACAUUUUAGAAUGUCCUUCUACAAUAAAUGAAAUGCAUUUCCUGUCUGUUGUGUUUGAUCGCCUGAAAAAUAUACUUUUAUUAAGUAAUAUACUAGCACAUUUUGUCAUAUAAGCACCAACAUCUUUUUUAUUGGUUAAAAAUACAAGCUGGACUUCAGGAAUUCUUAAGAAUGUGUGGAUUUGGUUUCUUAGAGCAGUAAAUUACUUAAACAUGACCUUGCAGGUAAAAGUUGUCUACAAACGUUAACUUUUAGAAGCAUCAAUUAGUACUUUAUGGAAGAAGUUCUUGGAAUAUAACAUUAACAAUCAGGUUCAUUAAAACUAGUAUUAGACUUAAAUUAUUGUAGGGUUCAUGUCGAAGUAUGUACACAAGGCUCUGUUUAUACAGUAUAAGGUUGUUAUAUGCAUUGUAAUAUGCCCAUAAUCUAGCUAUUGAGAACAUGUGUGUCCGUUAAAUGGCUGAGCCAUUUGUGUUUCUUGUAUUUGCAAUUUCUAAAAGCACAUUUGCUUUUUCCACAUCGUUGAUAUCACUGCAAAUGCACAUGUGUAUAACUGUAAGGUGGGAACAUCUCCAAGAGCAUUUGUCCCUACACUAAUAGCAGCGAACAAGCUUUCACCGAGAUCUGGAUCUGAUUUGGACCAACAUGGGUGUGCAAAUAACAGUUGCCAGCUGCCAGGAUCACUUUAAAGCAAAGGCAUCUUUUGGACCUGCAUGUCAGCUGCUGUGGGCAGCCGCUCAGGUCUUUGAAAAGACACAGCUGCUUUAAAAGGUACCCAAUAAGUGUUACUUGCACACCCCUGCAAAUGCCACAUCACCUUUCACCUUUCAAAGCUGGACCUCCACAGAGCUCUAAUAGGAAAAAAAGAAAGCUAAAUAAUUACUUUAAACAGCCACUAGAUGUCUAGUUACUUCUGUUCUAGAGCAAAAUGAAGAUCCUCUUGCACCAGUUUUAUUGCAAAGCAUGUAUUAUAGUAUACAGUGUGUGCAAUUACAGUACAGAAAUGCCAAAGUAUAAAUAAUGAAUCUUUGGGGAAUUCAGAAGAUGAACCACUUAAACGGACCUAUUUUUUUUCCUCAUUUUUUGCUUGCUCCCUUUUUAGAUAGUCUUUUGAUAAAAUACUGCAUGGAUCAAACAUACUAUAAAAUACUGCAUGUAUCUAACCUUGUUGACUCAGUGAGGAUGAAUGUAGCUCAUAAUCAUUGAGUAAGUGUGCUAUCACUUCUGUCACCCAUUUUCCAAGCAAGAAAUAAAAACAGGGGUGAAGUAUUUAUAUCCAUCAUAGCGUGAUUUGGGAAGGAAAUAUGUCAUCAAUGAAUUGUUGAACUUUUGUAUAACAUUGUCUGGGAUAACUGGUUACCAAUGGGGAUAUCCACUGGGGGGGUCAGAAGUCAAGAUAAUGCCCUGCACCAUGGAAGUGUCUUGACUCUGAUCCUCUGGUGAGCCUGUCAAAUCAGAAUUGUAUAUGAAUUGUCAUAGACUGAGCUGUGUGUGGGUCAUUGUUGACUCCUGUUGACUGCCUGGACCAGUCCCUGCAGUUUCCUUGGCAAGGUUUUUCAGAAGUGGUUUGCCAUUGCCUCCUUCCUAGGGCUAAGAGAGACUGACUGGCCCAAGGACACCCAGCUGGCUUUGUGCCUAAAGCAGGACUAGAACUCCCAGUCUCCUGGUUUCUAGCCUGGUGCCUUAACCACUACACCAAACUGGCUCUCAAGUAGACUGAGCUGCAGUCAUAAACAAUUAAAUGGGUUUGCUUUGUUCUCUUAAUAUUUAGUUAGAUAACAAAAUUUGAAAUUGGAAGAUGUGAUUUCACAGUAGGUUAAUAUGGAAAAGCCUGUUAAUGGGUCUCUUCCUGCCCUACUGACCUGAACAUUUAUUGGCUUCAGGUGUUUCAAAUGUUCAACAGAUGGGUCAUAAGAGGAAUCCUAAUGCACAUUAGAAAUGUGUCCACUCUUAAAAGACUUUGUGGUUUCUAUAAACUUUUUGUGGUAUCAGCUUAUUCAGUGUAAAAAGGGUUUCCGUGAGCAACAUCUACAGUUUAUCUGUUCAUUUGCUCAUUACUGUUUUUCCUUAUAUGUAUCAGUUGAAAAGCACACUGAUUUUUCUUUUCAUCAAUUUCAGUUUCUACUUCUCAGUGUAUAUAUUUUUUAUAUUUAUGCUAACUAAUAGAUAAAAUUAAAAUUAAGAUAUUUAUACAAAAAUAUCCUUCCAACGCAUUGCUUAAAAAUGGAGUAUAUUAAUUUUUAUAUUGCACAUAAACAGGCAUGAAGUUUCUGGAGGUAUGGAUUUAUACUUUUUUUCCUGCUGAAGCAUGUGAAGAUUGCAGAUUGAGAUUUCAAAAAGGAAUCCACUUUCUUUGGGUCGUUGAUCAAUUAUCACAAUAAUUGUAAAGCGGGGAUAUGUAAUAUUUUCCCUUGACUUUUGAGUAUGCAACCCAGAAAACUGUGAGACAAGCAUUACAUUUGAGUUAAUUACA